GACGAACGCUGGCGGCGUGCUUAACACAUGCAAGUCGAGCGGAAAGGCCCUUCGGGGUACUCGAGCGGCGAACGGGUGAGUAACACGUGAGUAACCUGCCCCAGACUUUGGGAUAACCCUCGGAAACGGGGGCUAAUACCGGAUACGACACAGCUUCGCAUGGGGUCUGUGUGGAAAGUUUUUCGGUUUGGGAUGGGCUCGCGGCCUAUCAGCUUGUUGGUGGGGUGAUGGCCUACCAAGGCGACGACGGGUAGCCGGCCUGAGAGGGCGACCGGCCACACUGGGACUGAGACACGGCCCAGACUCCUACGGGAGGCAGCAGUGGGGAAUAUUGCACAAUGGGCGGAAGCCUGAUGCAGCGACGCCGCGUGAGGGAUGACGGCCUUCGGGUUGUAAACCUCUUUCAGCAGGGACGAAGCGUAAGUGACGGUACCUGCAGAAGAAGCGCCGGCCAACUACGUG
rnacentral:rRNA from 1 species